rnacentral:rRNA from 1 species
GACCUCAAAUGAAGUAGGAGUACCCGCUGAAUUUAAGCAUAUAAUUAAGCGGAGGAAAAGAAACUAACUAGGAUUCCCUCAGUAACGGCGAGUGAAGCGGGAAGAGUUCAAACCUGGAAUCGCCGCUUGGCGAAUUGUGGUGUGUAGACGCGUGUCUCAGCGGGUGUGCCGGUGGAAGUCGAUUGGAAAAUCGCAUCAGAGAGGGUGAAAAUCCCGUUCGACACUGGGGUGACACUCGCGUUCGAGCCGUUGUCUGUGAGUCGGGUUGCUUGGGAGUGCAGCCCUAAGUGGGUGGUAAAUUCCAUCUAAAACUAAAUAUGUGUGGGAGACCGAUAGCGAACAAGUACCGUGAGGGAAAGAUGAAAAGAACUUUGAAAAGAGAGUUAAAAAGUACUUGAAAUUGUUUGGAUUGAAGGGAUGACGACUAGUGGUCAGCAUGGCUUGCGGGCGUGUCUGGUGUCUGCGGGGGUAGGUGGCUCUUCGGAGUGUUUUAGCCCUGUUGUUCAUGUCACGGCUGCGAGCGAGGUCACGGAUAGAUGCUGACGAAAUGGUCGUCAUUCACCCGUCUUGAAACACGGACCAAGGAGUCUUACAUGUGUGCGAGUGUUAGCGUGUGAAAGCGUUACCGCGUAAUGAAAGUGAAUUUGUUCAAGCGAGGGCGACUACGGUACGACCCUGAGCAUACAUGCAGGGACCCGAAAGAUGGUGAACUAUGCCUGGGCAGGAUGAAGCCAGGGGAAACUCUGGUGGAGGUCCGAAGCGAUACUGACGUGCAAAUCGUUCGUGUGAGCUGGGUAUAGGGGCGAAAGACUAAUCGAACCGUCUGGUAGCUGGUUCCCUCCGAAGUUUCCCUCAGGAUAGCUGGAAUUACAAGUAG